CCUUUUAUUUUGUCCAGAUCUGUAAAUUUCCUUAGUAUUAACUGUGCUGGUAUAGGAAGGGUAAAAAUCUUUUCUUAACUUAUUUUCAUGGUGGGUUAUUUUGGCAAUUUCCUGAUGCUCCUCUUUUGAAAACCUCUAAUGAAGGCUGCAAGCUGAAUGCCCAUCCAGCUGGGACAUGAGGAGGAUUCUAGAGCAUCUCAGGGCCACUGGCCAAGAUAGGAGCUCUUGUGGCCCAAGGAGGGGGAGGAUGGAGAGGGGUCAGGGAGAGAGGAUGAGGUCCCCAUGGCCUCCUUACUUCUCUGGCCCCAAGCAUGGCAGCAGGGAUGCAACCCCUGGAUGUGGCCAAGGAGCCAUGUGCAACGGACAGGGUGUGGGGUGGCUUUCUCUCUGUGUAGCACCUUUAUUUGCUUUUAAGAGAUAUAGGCAUCUCUAUGUCAUUGUACUCAAUCCUCUCUUGCACAGGAGACAAAAUAGCUGGUAGAGAACUGUAAGAGAAAAAUUAAUUGCAUUUUCAAGGAUUUGGGAAGGCAAAGUAUUUUCCAGGAUAAGACAAAGGAGGUUAUUAUUGCUUUUUGGUCCUUUUUUAAAUGAAUAAGGAUGAAAAGAGGAGAUAAAACAUGCAAUUCCUUGGUUCAGGUUCCAUUUCAGCCUGCUUUUUCUCACCUAGAAAGUAUCUGAUGGACAGACGGGGAUUGUUGUUGUGGUUUUCACCCAAAUAUAGCACCUAGAUCUCAGCUUUUUGCUUCUUUGUUUAUCUGAUUUUUCUUUCUUAUAUGCUUGUUUCUUUGUUAUCUGAUAUUUCUUUUGCAUCUUACGCAACCAAAACUUUCAGCACUCAUUCUUUGCCACCUGUCACUCCUCAGAUCAUUCCUUUCCCAGUCUUCAUUGAUGUGAAUAUUGUUCGUGCUAUCCAAGGGCUCUCCUCCACAUUAAACCUAAUCCAAGCAGUCGUGUCCAUGACUGAAACCCUCCUGGUAGUGCUGAUGAAGAGGCAAGAGGCUUAAAGAUUCUCAUGUCUUUUUGCUGUCCCUGCUGAAUGCUGUGCCCAUCAAAGUAACUGAAUCUUAAUUCACAUUGGCUGCAUCCAGCUCCAGAGGCAAAUUCCACAUGGAGAUUUCAACCCAACUUUUCUUUCUAGGGAGAUCAAGAAGAGGAGGUUGGGAAAAUGCUCACAUGCUGUACUUCAGCUUUUUCCUUCCCUGCCCUCCUGUACUUCACACCCCCCAGAUUUGUGGAUUCUUUGUGGCAUCCCACAUUUUGAAAAGACCAUUUUCCUGGAGAGCAGGAGGCACAAAGCUGGAGCAGGAGUGUCAAAGGUGCCUACUCACAUCCACAGUUUUACAGGAAGAAAACACAUGAGGACCACAUCAUGGCCAAGGUCCCAAGAACUAGGGAGAGGGACACCUUCCACUGUC